UACAGAGGGUGCGAGCGUUAAUCGGAAUUACUGGGCGUAAAGCGCGCGUAGGCGGCUUUGCAAGUCGAGUGUGAAAUCCCCCAGGCUUAACCUGGGAACUGCAUUCGAGACUGCAUAGCUAGAGUAUGGGAGAGGAGUGUGGAAUUCCUGGUGUAGCGGUGAAAUGCGCAGAUAUCAGGAGGAACACCAAUGGCGAAGGCAGCACUCUGGGACGUGACUGACGCUGAGACGCGAAAGCGUGGGGAGCAAACAGG
rnacentral:rRNA from 1 species